ACUUUACAAUGCUGGCAACAGCGAUAAGGGAACCUCGAGUGCCAGGUUACAAAUCUGGCUGUCGUGAUGCCUAAAAAGCAUUACAUAGCAAGGGCCGGGCAAGACCGGUGCCAGCCGCCGCGGUAACACCGGCGGCUCGAGUGGUAACCGUUAUUAUUGGGUCUAAAGGGUCUGUAGCCGGCCGGAUAAGUCUCUUGGGAAAUCUGGCAGCUUAACUGUCAGGCUUUCAGGAGAUACUGUCUGGCUCGAGGCCGGGAGAGGUGAGAGGUACUUCAGGGGUAGGGGUGAAAUCUUGUAAUCCUUGAAGGACCACCAGUGGCGAAGGCGUCUCACCAGAACGGACCUGACGGCAAGGGACGAAAGCUAGGGGCACGAACCGG
rnacentral:rRNA from 1 species